rnacentral:tRNA from 1 species
GUCACUGAUUCCAGGCCUAAGUGCAACUGUCUUGUAAACAGUAGGUCAUCCGUUCGAUUCGGAUAAGCGGCACCA